AGAGUUUAGNAUCCUGGNCUCAGGGACGNAACGCUGGCGGACGUGCUUNAACACAUGGCACGUCGAAACGGAAAGGCCCCUUUCGGGGGGGUGCUCGAGUGGCGAACGGGUGAGUAACACGUGGGUGAUCUGCCCNUGCACUUUGGGAUAAGCCUGGGAAACUGGGUCUAAUACCGGAUAGGACUACGGCCUGCAUGGGUUGUGGUGGAAAGUCUUUCCGACGGUGUGGGAUGGGCCCGCGGCCUAUCAGCUUGUUGGUGGGGUGAUGGCCUACCCCGGCUGCGACGGGUAGCCGGCCUGAGAGGGUGUCCGGCCACACUGGGACUGAGAUACGGCCCAGACUCCUACGGGAGGCAGCAGUGGGGAAUAUUGCACAAUGGGCGCAAGCCUGAUGCCGCGACGCCGCGUGGGGGAUGACGGCCUUCGGGUUGUAAACCUCUUUCACCAUCGACGAAGCCUCAGGUUUUCUUGGGGUGACGGUAGGUGGAGAAGAAGCACCGGCCAACUACGUGCCAGCAGCCGCGGUAGUACGUAGGGUGCAAGCGUUGUCCGGAAUUACUGGGCGUAAAGAGCUCGUAGGUGGUUUGUCGCGUUGUUCGUGAAAUGCCACAGCUUAACUGUGGGCGUGCGGGCGAUACGGGCAGACUGGAGUACUGCAGGGGAGACUGGAAUUCCUGGUGUAGCGGUGGAAUGCGCAGAUAUCAGGAGGAACACCGGUGGCGAAGGCGCGGUCUCUGGGCAGUAACUGACGCUGAGGAGCGAAAGCGUGGGGAGCGAACAGGAUUAGAUAUCUCUGGUAGUCCACGCCGUAAACGGUGGGUACUAGGUGUGGGUUUCUUUCCUUGGGAUCCGUGCGCGUAGCUAACGCAUUAUGUACCCCGCCUGGGGAGUACGGCCGNCAAGGCUAAUACUCAUAGGAAUUGACNG
rnacentral:rRNA from 1 species